rnacentral:tRNA from 1 species
GGGGUUGAGGCUCAGUGGUAGAGCACUCGCCUAGCAUGUGUGAGGUGUGAGGUGCUGGGUUCUAUCCUCAGCACCACA